rnacentral:lncRNA from 1 species
AUGUGCUUUUCAGGUGCCCCAGCUCUCUGGAUGACCUUGGCUCCGCUGUCCCUGAUGACCCUUCUGUCACCCCUACGACUGUGUCCCAGUCCCUCCGUGCUCCCUCCUCCAAGGCCUGCCUGGUUCUGGAAAGUACCACCCUCCCCAGCCAGUCUGGGCCUCAGGAAGCCCCGAGCUCAGAGCCAGGCCGGAGCAGAUGUCCAGUCCUCAAGUUCCCGCUGCCCGCUCCCGACCUUCCAGGAGCUGUUGACUGAACAGCCUCAGCUCAGCUUCAAGGUCGAGAUAGAGAAUCGAGACCUGGGCUCCCUGGGUUCAAAGUCCGGCUCCUCCCGACUACUAGUUGAGUGAAAGUUAGUCUUUCUGAGCCUCAGUUUUAUAAUAGCACCAGUGCCUGCUUCGUAGAGGUUUUGACUGUGAGCUGAGGGAACGGAUUAAAGUGCCUGCCUCGUCAAAAAAAUGCCAUCAGUAAAUCACACGACUUUUACAUAGUAACUCUUUACUUCUAUGGCCUCCUUCAUUCUGCCAGGAUCUCAGCUUCCUUCACCUUUUCUUGUUCCCACCAUGGACACCACACGGAUCCACCCUGUGGAAAAGGAAGU